rnacentral:rRNA from 1 species
UAAGCCCCAGUAAACGGCGGCCGUAACUAUAACGGUCCUAAGGUAGCGAAAUUCCUUGUCGGGUAAGUUCCGACCCGCACGAAAGGCGUAAUGAUCUGGGCACUGUCUCAACAAUAGACUCGGUGAAAUUGUAGUACCGGUAAAGAUGCCGGUUACCCGCAGCAGGACGGAAAGACCCCGUGGAGCUUUACUGUAGCUUGAUAUUGAGUUUCGGCGUUGCAUGUACAGGAUAGGUGGGAGACUAUGAAGCAAGUACGCCAGUAUUUGCGGAGUCAUCGUUGGGAUACCACCCUUGUAACGCUGGAAUUCUAACCAUGUACCGUGAACCGGUGCUGAGACAGUGUCAGGUGGGCAGUUUGACUGGGGCGGUCGCCUCCUAAAGAGUAACGGAGGCGCCCAAAGGUUCCCUCAGCGCGGUCGGAAAUCGCGCGUAGAGUGCAAAGGCAGAAGGGAGCUUGACUGCGAGACAUACAAGUCGGGCAGGGACGAAAGUCGGGCUUAGUGAUCCGGUGGUUCCGAGUGGAAGGGCCAUCGCUCAACGGAUAAAAGCUACCCCGGGGAUAACAGGCUGAUACCCCCCAAGAGUUCACAUCGACGGGGGUGUUUGGCACCUCGAUGUCGGCUCGUCUCAUCCUGGGGCUGAAGUAGGUCCCAAGGGUUGGGCUGUUCGCCCAUUAAAGAGGUACGCGAGCUGGGUUCAGAACGUCGUGAGACAGUUCGGUCCCUAUCCGCUGUGGGCGUUGGAAAUUUGAGAGGAGCUAUCCUUAGUACGAGAGGACCGGGAUGGACAUACCUCUGGUGUAUCGGUUGUUCUGCCAAGGGCAUAGCCGGGUAGCUACGUAUGGAAGGGAUAAGCGCUGAAAGCAUCUAAGUGCGAAGCCCACCUCAAGAUAAGAUUUCCUCCGAAAGGUAAGACCCGUGAGAGACUAUCACGUUGAUAGGUCAGAGGUGUAAGUACGGUAACGUAUUCAGCUGACUGAUACUAAUAGGUCGAACACUUGACCAA